rnacentral:rRNA from 1 species
UACGUAGGGGGCAAGCGUUGUCCGGAAUCAUUGGGCGUAAAGCGCGUGUAGGCGGCCCGGUAAGUCCGCUGUGAAAGUCGGGGGCUCAACCUCGAAUGCCGGUGGAUACUGUCGGGCUAGAGUGCGGGAGAGGCGAGUGGAAUUCCUGGUGUAGCGGUGAAAUGCGCAGAUAUCAGGAGGAACACCAAUUGCGAAGGCAGCUCGCUGGAACGUAACUGACGCUGAGACGCGAAAGCGUGGGGAGCAAACAGG